GCUGUUUUAAUCAGUUUACUUCUAGUUGCAUUGCAUAAAAGAAGAAAGGGUUCUAUGUCGAUUAAAACAUCUCAAUAAAUGUUUUAUUCAUCAUGAAAUAUCGGAACCAAUUUAUUAUAUCUGAUAUUGGAUUGCGGUACAUGAUUAUCAAGAAAAGAGCUAUUCUUAGUUCUCAACAACUUCUCAUUCCGUAAAAAUAUAUGACAGAUGCAGAUUCAGAUUCAGAUUCAAUAUUUUAUUAUAGUCUAAGAUAAAUAAUAAAAUUAACGGUACCAAUUUUCUUGCACCAGAUGCGCAUUUCGACAAUACAUGUCUCUUCAGUGAUGCUCGUGGCCAAAAUAUUUGAAAUCCAAAGCUUAUAUAAAAGAUGAAGAGCUAUAAUCCAAAAGGUCCAAAAAGUAUAGCCAAAUCCGUGAAAGGAAUCAGAGCUUUGCAUGAGGGAGAUACAUUCCUUAAUUUAUAAUAAUUUCUAAUAUUUGUAACAGCAAAUUUUAAUAACACAAAAAAUCCGUAUUUUCAUGCCAGUACCGAAAAACUGGCUACUGGGCUGGUGAUACCCUCG
rnacentral:lncRNA from 1 species